UACGUAGGGUGCAAGCGUUGUCCGGAAUUAUUGGGCGUAAAGAGCUCGUAGGCGGUUCCGUAAGUCAGAUGUGAAAACUCAGGGCUCAACCCGGAGACGCCAUCUGAUACUGCGGUGACUGGAGUCUGGUAGGGGGAACACGGAAUUCCUGGUGUAGCGGUGAAAAUGCGCAGAUAUCAGGAGGAACACCGAUGGCGAAGGCAGUGUUCUGGGCCAGUACUGACGCUGAGGAGCGAAAGCGUGGGGAGCAAACAGG
rnacentral:rRNA from 1 species